GAAUUACUUCCCUCUCUGAAUCUGUUCUCUCCUCUGGGAAGAAAGGAGAACGAACGUUCCUUUCUUACUUGCCUUGCAGGGCUCUUGCAGAGAUUAAAUAGAAGUAUGCGCCCCGCUCAGAACUUCAUUCCCUUUUUAUCUAUAUGGUCAAUAGGUUUCGGUUUUGGUAAAAAGCCUACAAAAUGAUCAUGUCUAGUGGGGAUGCUCAUGCUUCCAUUUGGAGCGUUUAAGGGGCAAUAUUUCAAGACCACACCAGCAUCCUGGGAGCAAACAGACAACCAUGUGAUUUCAGAGAUCUUAGAACCUCAUUGAAGUGCUGCGAUUUUGAUCUUGUUUGUUUUACAAAGAAAUUGGUGGGGGCGGGGUACUUUCCUAUUUUAACAAACGAACAACAAAGGGUGCUUGUCUGUCUCAAAUAGAGGCAAUCCUUUGUCCUAACAGUUACAUUUUCAUUAUUCUUGUAGAGAUUAUUGGUUAGAACAAGCAGUGCCCACCCUUGACUUUCCCAAUGGACAAUGAGCUUGCCUCCUGGAGAAGAAGAGAUCCGAAACUGUGGCUCCCAACUUCAGGUCAGCCUUCGCACCCUCCCCCGCCCCCACCAUCAGGCCCAUAGGCCAGCACAGCCUGCACCCCAUCCCACUCUAGACCAGCCUCAACGCAAACAUGAUGGGGGCAGCGUCUCCAGUGCAUGGUUGAAAGCAGCAUUCUCCAGAGAAUUUUCUGGAAAGGUGAAACACUUUGGGAAGCAGCAUGUUGAAACACGAAAGCACUGAAUUUGCAGGAAGCAGACGUCCAUCCAGAAGAUGAUGUUACCUUCGCUAUCUGUGUCCGUGGAGAAAGACCUUAAACUGUCCAAGCCUCCAUGUGUUUGACUGUUAUAAGGAUUAUGUGUAACAACACGUAGUAAACUUGGAACUUCUACCAAGUGUUCGCUGAUGCCAGCACGUUGCCAGACAUGAGAUGACUUAUUUAAAGAACAACUGUGUGAGGCUCUGGAACAUGUUUCUCUGAUGUUUCGGAUGAAUUGUUCUACGUGAAUAUCAGGCUAUGGUCCAUCACUAUAUUAAGAUUUUUCUUAAGUUGCUAGUCAUUGAUUUUUAAUGUUAACCCAUCUAAUAUAUAAUUUCAUAUAUAAAUCAUGGGUUACCAGAGUCAGAGGGCCCUUCGAAAUGACCUCACCCAGCCUGUUUCAAGGGGAGUUUUGCUCAAAGUCCUGUUUAGUUUUGGUAAACUGAAACAAGAUGGCCCACAGGGUUCCUGAGUUCCUGUAUCCCAUUUACUUCAACUAGAAGAAAAUUAAUUACCCUUUAUGACACAACGGCAAACCAAAUAAAGUCUAUUCUCCUGCCCA
rnacentral:lncRNA from 1 species